rnacentral:rRNA from 1 species
CACCAAAGCGACGAUCAGUAGCCGGCCUGAGAGGGUGGACGGCCACAUUGGGACUGAGACACGGCCCAGACUCCUACGGGAGGCAGCAGUAGGGAAUAUUGCACGAUGGGGAAGCCCUGAUGCAGCGACGCCGCGUGAGCGAAGAAGUAUCUCGGUAUGUAAAGCUCUAUCAGCAGGGAAGAAGAUGACGGUACCUGACUAAGAAGCACCGGCUAAAUAC